rnacentral:rRNA from 1 species
GACGAACGCUGGCGGCGUGCCUAAUACAUGCAAGUCGAACGAGAGCGCCCGGUGCUUGCCCUGGUCAAUCUAGUGGCGAACGGGUGAGUAACACGUGGGUAACCUGCCCAUCAGAGGGGGAUAACAUCCGGAAACGGAUGCUAAAACCGCAUAGGUCUUCGAACCGCAUGGUUUGAAGAGGAAAAGAGGCGCAAGCUUCUGCUGAUGGAUGGACCCGCGGUGCAUUAGCUAGUUGGUGAGGUAACGACUCACCAAGGCCGUGAUGCAUAGCCGACCUGAGGGGGUGAUCGGCCACAUUGGGACUGAGACACGGCCCAAACUCCUACGGGAGGCAGCAGUAGGGAAUCUUCCGCAAUGGACGCAAGUCUGACGGAGCAACGCCGCGUGAGUGAAGAAGGUGUUCGGAUCGUAAAACUCUGUUGUUAGAGAAGAACAAGUGCUAGAGUAACUGUUAGCGCCUUGACGGUAGCUAACCAGAAAGCCACGGCUAACUACGUG